rnacentral:pre_miRNA from 1 species
CAAGUACUCCCUCCAUUCAGAAUUACUCGUCCAAGAAAUGAAUGUAUCUAGAUGUAUUUUAGUUGUAGAUACAUCCAUUUUGGUGACAAGUAAUUCCGAACGGAGGAAGUAGUAU